rnacentral:rRNA from 1 species
GGAUGCAACAACCUUGUUCUUAAUUCUGAUAAUCUGGAGGUUAUUCAAACCAUGAAUAAUGGCGGACGAUCAGCAGGAGCGGUGACUACAUUUUUUUAUGAUUGCUAUUUUUUGGCUUGUUAUUUUUCUUUCUCUAGGUUUGAAUACUGUAAUAGGGAAGCCAAUAAGGUUGCGCACGAGCUUGCGAGGUUGGCUAGAUUUUCUUCAGCUGUUGAUUGGUUUGAGGAUCCUUUGAUUGAAAUUUUACCUUUCCUCACAAACGAUGUAUCUGUUAUUUCGGUUGAAUAA